GAUUGCAGGAGAGGAAAACUCAAGGGGAGGACAAAUUCAGGCAGCUUUCUGGAAUUCUCUUCAGGGCAAUACAGAAGGACCAUCUCCAUUAUAUGCAAGUAAGCUUGGUGCCAAAAGAAAACUUUGAUGGAUGGCUCUGCAUAUAUGGAAAAGAUGACCCUUCAGGUACGACAGCGCUUCAGGUUUCUGGAGAUUGAAGUAACCUUCAUUUCAACCAAGUCAUGAAAAGGGCAGCAGUCAAUGAGUCUGUGUCAAACCUUAGCUCUUCUCAUCUGUGCUUCAUGGUGUCUAUAUCUUUUGCUUCUCUUUCUCUCUACUGUCACCAAACAGCUUUUGUGUGCCCAUUAACAGCAAGGAGUGCCACAUUUCGAAUUUCCAACUCCCAGUCUGAAAGCAUUAAAGGGGCACAUCUGUGUGCUCCUGACCCUCCUGAAGUCAGCAGCGCUGUCUGGAAAAAAUACCCAUCUUAAGUGCCUUUAUUUUAUGCAUCUGCUUUAAGUGUAUUUUGGGUUCUUUUCUGACAUAACACAGAAAGCUUUCAAUUUGAAAAAUACUGAGAGUGUUCUUCAACACCUGCAAUUUUAGCUGCUUUGUAUAUUCAGCUUUGCGUGUGAAAU